rnacentral:rRNA from 1 species
GUUGAACGCUGGCGGAAUGCUUUACACAUGCAAGUCGAACGGCAGCACGGACUUCGGUCUGGUGGCGAGUGGCGAACGGGUGAGUAAUGUAUCGGAACGUGCCCAGUCGUGGGGGAUAACGUAGUGAAAAUUACGCUAAUACCGCAUACGAUCUAUGGAUGAAAGCGGGGGAUCGCAAGACCUCGCGCGAUUGGAGCGGCCGAUAUCAGAUUAGGUAGUUGGUGGGGUAAAGGCCCACCAAGCCAACGAUCUGUAGCUGGUCUGAGAGGACGACCAGCCACAAUGGAACUGAGACACGGUCCAGACUCCUACGGGAGGCAGCAGUGGGGAAUUUUGGGCAAUGGGCGAAAGCCUGAUCCAGCCAUUCCGCGUGCAGGAUGAAGGCCCUCGGGUUGUAAACUGCUUUUGUACAGAACGAAAAGGUUUCUACUAAUACUAGGAGCUCAUGACGGUACUGCAAGAAUAAGCACCGGCUAACUACGUGCCAGCCGCCGCCGUAA